rnacentral:rRNA from 1 species
CCUUCACUCUGGGACAAGCCCUGGAAACGGGGUCUAAUACCGGAUGACACUCCUUCUCGCAUGGGAAGGGGUUGAAAGCUCCGGCGGUGAAGGAUGAGCCCGCGGCCUAUCAGCUUGUUGGUGAGGUAGUGGCUCACCAAGGCGACGACGGGUAGCCGGCCUGAGAGGGCGACCGGCCACACUGGGACUGAGACACGGCCCAGACUCCUACGGGAGGCAGCAGUGGGGAAUAUUGCACAAUGGGCGAAAGCCUGAUGCAGCGACGCCGCGUGAGGGAUGACGGCCUUCGGGUUGUAAACCUCUUUCAGCAGGGAAGAAGCGAAAGUGACGGUACCUGCAGAAGAAGCGCCGGCUAACUACGUGCCAGCAGCCGCGGUAAUACGUAGGGCGCAAGCGUUGUCCGGAAUUAUUGGGCGUAAAGAGCUCGUAGGCGGUCUGUCGCGUCGGAUGUGAAAGCCCGGGGCUUAACCCCGGGUCUGCAUUCGAUACGGGCAGACUAGAGUGUGGUAGGGGAGAUCGGAAUUCCUGGUGUAGCGGUGAAAUGCGCAGAUAUCAGGAGGAACACCGGUGGCGAAGGCGGAUCUCUGGGCCAUUACUGACGCUGAGGAGCGAAAGCGUGGGGAGCGAACAGGAUUAGAUACCCUGGUAGUCCACGCCGUAAACGGUGGGAACUAGGUGUUGGCGACAUUCCACGUCGUCGGUGCCGCAGCUAACGCAUUAAGUUCCCCGCCUGGGGAGUACGGCCGCAAG